rnacentral:pre_miRNA from 10 species
UCUUUUGAGCGGGGGUCAAGAGCAAUAACGAAAAAUGUUUGUCAUAAACCGUUUUUCAUUAUUGCUCCUGACCUUCUCUCAUUUGCUAUAUUCG